UGCUGCCAGAAGAAAACCACAAUCCCAGGGAACAAACCCAUAUUUGCAAGAAUAUCUCACCCCUGCAAUCCCACUAUCAACAGCAAAUCAACCAGUAUUAAUAAGGGUGUAAGGAAUUAAGACUAUUAUAAGAGAGAAAUAAACUAUAGUAUAAAUUCUAGUGACUUCAUAUACAUAAAGUUGAUAGACAAGAAAUGAAUGUUAGAAAGCUAUGUGGGGUGGGAAAAAAAUCACUAAUCAUUGAGAAAACCAUAAUGGAUUUCAUCUAGGUAGUCUCUUAUAUUUACCACUGUUUUUUUCUUUCUGGUUCUGCCUCUGGCAAUGUGUGAUGUUGACCCUGUCUGAUCUUAGCCUGCUCUGAGACUGCCAGGGAUCUACUGUCUAAGGCUAUUUCCUUCAGUUGUUAAUCUAGUCAUUCUGUACUCAGCAGUGAGGCUUAACCCUUAUAGGGCAGGGCAGAAUCCCUCCUGGAGUUGGAGCUAUUGUUUCCCCUCAGGCUGCUGCUGCUUCCAGGGGAGUGGUCUGCCUGAGCAGGAUGGCUGCUGCCUUAGCGGUGAUGACUCAGCACCAGGAUUCUGGCAGCAGAAGAAUGUUCCCAGGUUGCCAUUGGUUCCAGGAAAAUGAGACCCAGGAAGAAGAUCUGAACACAUCCUGAAAUUAAAGCUGAGCUAAACCUAUUGGCUGAGGCUCAGCCAUCCUACAGAGAAGGGAAGGGAUGGAGAAAGAGAAGGAAAGAAAGAUUGAUGGGCAAGAAAAGCAUUGAUUGGUUGCCUCUCACAUGCUCCAACCAGGGACUUGGCCCACAGCCCAGGGUCUGAGCAUAAAGAAGACAACACCAAAAAGUCUUGUUUGAAGAGACUGGCCACUUGGCUGAGGCUGAAUCCUAAGUACCUGAGAGGAAGACCAGGUACAAGGCCACAAAUAGAAUAUGUUCAAGGGUAUGGCCUUCAGGGUACAAUACAAAUGUAGUAAAACACAAAGAAAAACAAGGGAAUUAUUAAAGUUGUGAGUAAAGAUGAACCAAAGGGUGAAUCAGGGGGAUAUGCCCACAUCCAGAGCCAACAGUUUGCACCCUUGAGAUGCAGACAUAGACUCAGACACACAGAGGAUGUCUUAGAUGUGUGUUCUACUUCAUAAGUUGGGGCCUUACUGAUUAGUACACUUGCCUUUAUUUAUUAGUGCUCUUUAUGCCUUACUUUGGUAACUUCUCAUAUAUAUAAAAUACCACAUUCUUUUAAGAUGAGAAAACCUUGCAUAUGAAAACUUGAAUUACCCAGCAAAAAUAAAAAUAAA